GAAUAUUGCGCAAUGGGCGACAGCCUGACGCAGCGACGCCGCGUGGGGGAUGAAGGUCUUCGGAUUGUAAACCCCUUUCGGGAGGGCAGAUGGGAUGGGGUAACUCAUUCGGACGGUACCUCCAGAAGCAGCCACGGCUACCUUCGUGCCAGCAGCCGCGGUAAUACGAAGGUGGCAAGCGUUGUUCGGAUUUACUGGGCGGACAGGGAGCGUAGGCGGGUGGGUAAGCCCUCCGUGAAAUCUCCAGGCUUAACCUGGAAAGUGCAGAGGGGACUGCGCAGCUAGAGGAUGGGAGAGGAGCGCGGAAUUCCCGGUGUAGCGGUGAAAUGCGUAGAGAUCGGGAGGAAGGCCGGUGGCGAAGGCGGCGCUCUGGAACAUUUCUGACGCUGAGGCUCGAAAGCGUGGGGAGCAAACAGG
rnacentral:rRNA from 1 species